ACGUGCUACACUGCAGUCGAGCGAUGGGUUAAGAGCUUGCUCUUAUGAAGUUAGCGGCGGACGGGUGAGUAACACGUGGGUAACCUGCCCAUAAGACUGGGAUAACUCCGGGAAACCGGGGCUAAUACCGGAUAACAUUUUGAACCGCAUGGUUCGAAAUUGAAAGGCGGCUUCGGCUGUCACUUAUGGAUGGACCCGCGUCGCAUUAGCUAGUUGGUGAGGUAACGGCUCACCAAGGCAACGAUGCGUAGCCGACCUGAGAGGGUGAUCGGCCACACUGGGACUGAGACACGGCCCAGACUCCUACGGGAGGCAGCAGUAGGGAAUCUUCCGCAAUGGACGAAAGUCUGACGGAGCAACGCCGCGUGAGUGAUGAAGGCUUUCGGGUCGUAAAACUCUGUUGUUAGGGAAGAACAAGUGCUAGUUGAAUAAGCUGGCACCUUGACGGUACCUAACCAGAAAGCCACGGCUAACUACGUGCCAGCAGCCGCGGUAAUACGUAGGUGGCAAGCGUUAUCCGGAAUUAUUGGGCGUAAAGCGCGCGCAGGUGGUUUCUUAAGUCUGAUGUGAAAGCCCACGGCUCAACCGUGGAGGGUCAUUGGAAACUGGGAGACUUGAGUGCAGAAGAGGAAAGUGGAAUUCCAUGUGUAGCGGUGAAAUGCGUAGAGAUAUGGAGGAACACCAGUGGC
rnacentral:rRNA from 1 species